rnacentral:tRNA from 36 species
CGCGGGGUGGAGCAGUUCGGUAGCUCGUCGGGCUCAUAACCCGAAGGUCACAGGUUCAAAUCCUGUCCCCGCAACCA